rnacentral:piRNA from 1 species
UACUUACAAACUCUUUUAGAUAUAAC